rnacentral:rRNA from 1 species
GCUUGGGAAUGUACCUUAUGGUGGGGGACAACAGUUGGAAACGACUGCUAAUACCGCAUAAUGUCUUCGGACCAAAGCGGGGGACCUUCGGGCCUCGCGCCAUAAGAUCAGCCCAAGUGGGAUUAGCUAGUUGGUGAGGUAAUGGCUCACCAAGGCGACGAUCCCUAGCUGGUUUGAGAGGAUGAUCAGCCACACUGGGACUGAGACACGGCCCAGACUCCUACGGGAGGCAGCAGUGGGGAAUAUUGCACAAUGGGCGCAAGCCUGAUGCAGCCAUGCCGCGUGUGUGAAGAAGGCCUU